GUUGAUGUCAACCAUCAUCUGACUCCUG
rnacentral:piRNA from 2 species